rnacentral:snRNA from 1 species
AUGCUUGCUUCAGCAGCACAUAUACUAAAAUUGGAAAAUUACAGAGAAGAUUAGCAUGGCCCCUGCACAAAUAUGAUAUGCAAAUUAGUGAAGCAUUCCAUAUUUUU